rnacentral:rRNA from 1 species
UACGAAGGGGGCUAGCGUUGCUCGGAAUUACUGGGCGUAAAGGGAGCGUAGGCGGACAUUUAAGUCAGAGGUGAAAUCCCGGAGCUCAACUCCGGAACUGCCUUUGAUACUGGAUGUCUUGAGUGUGAGAGAGGUAUGUGGAACUCCGAGUGUAGAGGUGAAAUUCGUAGAUAUUCGGAAGAACACCAGUGGCGAAGGCGACAUACUGGCUCAUUACUGACGCUGAGGCUCGAAAGCGUGGGGAGCAAACAGG